CAAGCAGCAAUGUUGUGCAUUUGCAGGUCGAGUGCGCCGAGACUUUCGAGAAGGCGAUAUGAGCUCAAUUUUGAGGCCAGCUUGSUGGUACCCGGAUUGGAGGAAUGUUGUUCGUUUUGGAUGURAUUUUGGGGAAAGGUUUUCGAGCUCGUAUGGGUUCGAGUCGGUGUGGGGUGGCAGUUGCAUGCAACAUGUGCCUUCCGCCGAUUCGGUCCUGUGCGAGCUCACAAUCCCACUCUCGGCGUAAAAGUUGGUCAUCUAUCCGACCCGUCUUGAAACACGGACCAAGGAGUUUAUCGUGUGCGCAAGUCAUUGGGUGUUGAAAACUCAAAGGCGCAAUGAAAGUAAAGCAUCCGCAAGGAUUUGACGUGUGAUCUGAUCAGUCUCGAYUGUYYGGAGCAACAUGGCCCCAUUCUGGCCGCUUGCGGCGGGGUGGAGGAAGAGCCCGAAAGAUGGUGAACUAUUCCUGAGCAGGAUGAAGCCAGAGGAAACUCUGGUGGAAGUCCGAAGCGAUUCUGACGUGCAAAUCGAUCGUCUGACUUGGGUAUAG
rnacentral:rRNA from 1 species